rnacentral:sRNA from 1 species
GUUUGCACUUGUCAGGGAAGGGUGAGAACCUUCGAUUAAGGUUCGACUCGAGCGAAAGCGAGAGAACGUUGCCAACGGCAACGGCCCGUAGGUUGAGGAGCGAAGCGACGAAUAAUCCUUCCCCCACCACCA